CUUACGCUCAUGCUUAAACACUCUUCAGUUUCUCCACAUGAAGAAGGAAACCCCCAAUAUGUUGGAGAUCAGUUCUCAGAUGGUUGGCCGAAAGGACACCUCAAAAAGUGUUUUUGAUGUAUGGGCAGAGAUUUUUCAAAAGAGGAAAGUAAAACGAGAAAGGAAGUUAACUAGUGGCUGCAGCAGCAUCUCCAAUGAAUUUGACUUUCUGCACUCCAUGAUUUCUAACCACGGUGACUACGAUUUAAUUUUAGAUGGGAUCCAUGAAAAAAGUUUGCCACUUCACUAUCAUGAUCCAGUUAUGUGAAAGACUUUUAUCAACCCAGUAUUGCAAUCACAGUGCGUAGUCUGGUAGCACAACAUGAGAAACCAAAUAUUGAAUGGCCAAAGUCUUUCCAGAGAUACUGAACGAUGUUGAUGGAGAAGAUGGAUAUUCUAUGGUCUUGGCACAAUAAAAUAUUACCACAUAUCUCAAGGCAUAUGUCGACAAAAUCUUUUGUAGAAGAUACAAUAUCUUCAUUACUGCAUAUUCUGUCACCCCCAACUCUAAGGCCGAUGGUUUUUGGCAUGGAAAUGUAAAUAUUCUUUAUUUGUGUGCGGAAGACAUUGCUUUUUUUUAUAAUCUGUUAUUAUGUUGUCCUUUGUUUUUUUGUGGAUUACUAUUGUUUGUACAGAUAACUAUUGGUGUCAUACAAAUUAGUUUUGGCAUAGAACAUAUUACAUUUGGCGUGGUAUACAUUACCAUUUGACAUGGUAUUGUGGAUAUUUCUUUUUUUGUGUACGAAAGACAUAAUUUUUGUAUAAUCCUCUAUUUUGUGUGGAAUUAUUAUUUUAAGUUAGAUUAUGCUUGGUUUGUAUGGAAUGACAAGAAAGACAUAUGGACAACUUCGAAAGAUGAUGUCAUGACAAGAAAGACAUAUGGACAACUUCGAUAUUUUGGUGGAGGGCUAAGUAUUGGGUGGUCUAAGAGAAGUGCUUCCAAGGUACGGAUAUGUGGGUGAUGUGUUUAUUGCUUGGUGCAUGUUGAUUGAUCUGAUGUAUAGAUUUGACCAGGGAGGGACCUAGGAUUUUAAGGGAAAUAUAUACUAACAGAACUUUUAAAAUGUAUGGAUUACAACAUAUAUAAUAAACAUGUUUGCUUCUAUCUACUGUGAGUUAGAAAAAAUUGCAAUUGUAAGACAAUAUUUCUAUUGAAAUGAGGCAUCUUGAGUUGUAUUCCACAUUCUUUCAUGUCAUUAAAUGAAUCUAUGGUAGAAUAGACAUUAAGAUCCCAAACAAUGUCUUUUUGAAUGAAUAUGAUCAAGUAACUUGCUAACUUCUCAUUCACCUUCUUUUCUUCUUUGCAGCCUACAGAAUAAUGCUUGUAAUUAACACUAAUGGUUUUGAUAAACUAUUUUCUUGGGAUAUAUUUUAGCCAAUUUUGUAUUAAAAUUUUUCAAAUUUGACCCCUAUGUUUAAUAGAUAUGGAGGGCAGUCACUUAAUUUUUUUUAAAAAAAAUCAGAGGGGACAAUCAUUUAAAAUUAAAAAAAAAAAAAAAACUAGUGGGGAUGAGCUUUUAUAAUUUGGAGAUAAGUAAUAGCUAAUACUAUUGUGUUAAAGUUUUUUAAUUAUUUUUAUUUUUUAAA